ACUUAUUUGGGGCAAAGAACAAACUCACCACUGUUAGAGAGAGUUCAUUCCUCGUAAUGGACUGUCAGAGUUGUCAGAAGUUGUGUGGAAAACAUACCAAUAAAGAGGAAAGGAUCAGCAGAUUGAAAAAGAAGGCGACAAAACUUGGGAAAUAAAGGAGACCUGAGUAUCUUUCUAAGCCAUUGACUUGCCCUGACCUCGAGUGCUGCAUUUGGACACUGCGUGCUUCUAUUAUUCCAGUGGUCAAAAGGGGACACAAAACAUGUAUGUGUCCUCUUGCCAUAUGUGGAUAGAAAGCAUUAGGAGAUGGGGAGGUGUAAGGAGAGUGAAUGGAGGUGCACGGGGAUGCUCAGAACCAGAUGAUCACCCUAAUGUUGGUGACGUGGAAGAUUUUGUGCAGCCUCACUCAGUGUUUCCCAGCACUAACAAUCCUGGGCUGGAACCCCUCC
rnacentral:lncRNA from 1 species